ACCAUUCUAGAGAAACAUGUCACAACCCUAUAAAAUGUUUUAGUUGCAGAAAGUUUGGUCAUCGAGCUAGUUCCUGCAAAGCCCCACGGCCAACUAAUGGGAAGUGGAGACUGAUAUCAAACUCGAUGCUGGCCAGGCAUUCGCUAUAGAGGAGGCAACAAACCUCCACUAAGGCAUCUGUCUAUCGUCACCCAGAUCCACCAACUUCACCAUCCUACAGAUCUGCAGUGCGCAAACCUUUUGUCUCUAUUUCCCCUAAGAUGUAGGAAACUGAGUUCUACCUAUAGCGAGUGGCACAUGUUGAGGUUUUUGGAAGGGC
rnacentral:lncRNA from 1 species